rnacentral:tRNA from 1 species
UGGGGGCUAGUUUAAUUGGUAGAACAGCGGGUUUUGAUCCCGUUAGCGCGAGGUUCGAACCCUCCGCCCCCGGCCA